rnacentral:rRNA from 1 species
UACGGAGGGUGCAAGCGUUGCUCGGAAUUAUUGGGCGUAAAGGGUAAGUAGGUGGUCUCAUUUGUCUGGGGUGAAAGCCUUGGGCUUAACCCAAGAAGUGCCCCAGAAACGGUGAGACUAGAGUCCUGGAGAGGUUAGUGGAAUUCCCGGUGUAGCGGUGAAAUGCGUAGAGAUCGGGAGGAACACCAGAGGCGAAGGCGGCUAACUGGACAGGUACUGACACUCAACUACGAAAGCGUGGGGAGCAAACAGG